GACAGAGGGUGCAAACGUUGUUCGGAAUUACUGGGCGUAAAGCGCGUGUAGGCUGCUAUGCAAGUCGGGCGUGAAAUCCCGCGGCUCAACCGUGGAAGUGCACUCGAAACUGCGUAGCUAGAGUCUCGGAGAGGAAGGUGGAAUGCUUGGUGUAGAGGUGAAAUUCGUAGAUAUCAAGUGGAACACCGGUGGCGAAGGCGGGUCUCUGGGCCGAUACUGACGCUGAGGAGCGAAAGCGUGGGGGAGCGAACAGG
rnacentral:rRNA from 1 species